GGAUGUGCGCAGGAGCAGUUCGUCUCUGGCUGGGGUUGAUUUUUGCCGUUUGUUCCCGGAGAAGGCCACAGGCAGGUCACGGAUUUGCAGGAACAUGAUGUUGGUAGAGCACAACUCUAGAGAGCGAGAGUCAAUCUUAGGAAUAUGUGGACUGAGACCUUUCACCAGAGCUUCAGGGAAGAGACUGAGAUGAAGGAGCAGAUCCUGGACUAUUUGUGGUAGAGGAAUUACUGCUUCAUCCUGCUAGGAGAGACAAGACUUUGUUAAAGCUUGAACAGCAAGGAGGGAAUAACUGUAGAGUUCUUCACUGUAGUGCUGGAAUUGAAAGGAGCCUGAGCCUCUUUCACCCCCUGUUAAUCACCAAUAGGCUCAGAAGUGUAAGCAUCACGUUUGACUGUUCAGCAGGGCCAAUUCUUUCAUGAUGCUAUUUUCUAUCAUUUACACCUCUAGAUUGAGUUGCAAACUUAAUUUCACAGAGCACAUCGGAACCCAAGCUCAGAACUCUGCUGCUGUCUCAGAACUCUGCCUUUUCCCAAUAUAAUACAAAAGAGGAAAAGAAAGAGCUGGAAAUGACUUCUGUUCUACUUUCAGUUAGAUCCCAGGUGAGUAGAGUUUUCCUUCUAAAUACCAUCUUAUUUAUCAGAAUAUUGAUAUACUUUUU
rnacentral:lncRNA from 1 species